AUGGCAUCCUCCUCUCCAGGCCAAACUGGAUGCUAUGUUCGUCCGCUUGGUUCCGACCAGCCACCGAGGUACAUUGGGUGGCUGGAGAUGGUAAAAGUGCUGUGCAUAGAGAUAUCAGCCCUCAUCCGUGAUAGCCUGCAUUGGUUCCUACUUGAGGAUAGAAAACAUGUAUUGGUAUUUGACACCACCACCGAGUCGUUCCGGCACAUGCGUGCUCCAAUUGUUCCUGGCGGCAGUGACCCUGGCCUGUUUGAGAUGGAUGGCACGCUCGGCAUCGAUUGCCAUAAUGAUGCCAUGGAAAUUGUCACUAUAUGGGUGUUGCAGGAUUAUGAAAGUGAGGUUGGGGACAUAAAGUACCGAAUCAAAUUGCCGGUUGGUGAAAUCAGGGACAAGUUUAGAGACGAUGGUGAAAGAUGGGGUUUGGGUGUUGGUGUUCUUUCAGGGGAUGGUGACGUGCUCUUGCUGCUCAAUUUUCGUGGGUGGUUACUUCAAGUUGACAGUGACGGAAAAUUGAUUGAAAGUUUCGAUUGUGGUCAUAGAGACCUGCAGAUAUAUGAAUAUCGUCUCAAACAAAGUCUUGUCCAGCAUACCUUCUUCCCGGCUCUAAAAAGUUAUGCUGGUAGUGCCUUGCCUUUGAUCUGA
rnacentral:rRNA from 1 species